GGAAUAUUGGACAAUGGGCGAAAGCCUGAUCCAGCCAUGCCGCGUGUGUGAAGAAGGUCUUCGGAUUGUAAAGCACUUUAAGUUGGGAGGAAGGGUUGUAGAUUAAUACUCUGCAAUUUUGACGUUACCGACAGAAUAAGCACCGGCUAACUCUGUGCCAGCAGCCGCGGUAAUACAGAGGGUGCAAGCGUUAAUCGGAAUUACUGGGCGUAAAGCGCGCGUAGGUGGUUUGUUAAGUUGGAUGUGAAAUCCCCGGGCUCAACCUGGGAACUGCAUUCAAAACUGACUGACUAGAGUAUGGUAGAGGGUGGUGGAAUUUCCUGUGUAGCGGUGAAAUGCGUAGAUAUAGGAAGGAACACCAGUGGCGAAGGCGACCACCUGGACUAAUACUGACACUGAGGUGCGAAAGCGUGGGGAGCAAACAGGAUUAGAUACCCUUG
rnacentral:rRNA from 1 species